UAGGGAAUCUUCCACAAUGGACGCAAGUCUGAUGGAGCAACGCCGCGUGAGUGAAGAAGGUUUUCGGAUCGUAAAGCUCUGUUGUUGGUGAAGAAGGAUAGAGGCAGUAACUGGUCUUUAUUUGACGGUAAUCAACCANAAAGUCACGGCUAACUACGUGCCAGCAGCCGCGGUAAUACGUAGGUGGCAAGCGUUGUCCGGAUUUAUUGGGCGUAAAGCGAGCGCAGGCGGAAUGAUAAGUCUGAUGUGAAAGCCCACGGCUCAACCGUGGAACUGCAUCGGAAACUGUCAUUCUUGAGUGCAGAAGAGGAGAGUGGAACUCCAUGUGUAGCGGUGGAAUGCGUAGAUAUAUGGAAGAACACCAGUGGCGAAGGCGGCUCUCUGGUCUGCAACCGACGCUGAGGCUCGAAAGCAUGGGUAGCGAACAGGAUUAGAUACCCUGGUAGUCCAUGCCGUAAACGAUGAGNGCUAGGUGUUGGGGACUUUCCGGUUCUCAGUGCCGCAGCAAACGCAUUAAGCGCUCCGCCUGGGGAGUACGACCGCAAGGUUGAAAC
rnacentral:rRNA from 1 species